rnacentral:rRNA from 1 species
CAGGGAUUGCCUCAGUAGCGGCGAGUGAAGCGGCAAGAGCUCAGAUUUGAAAUCCGGUGCGGUCCCCGCGCCUGAGUUGUAAUCUGGAGAGGAUGCCCCGGCGAGGCCGGCCGUCCAAGUUCCUUGGAACAGGACGUCUUAGAGGGUGAGAACCCCGUACCCGGCGGCCUGCCGAGCCGCGUGGGGCUCCUUCGACGAGUCGAGUUGUUUGGGAAUGCAGCUCAAAAUGGGUGGUAAAUUCCAUCUAAAGCUAAAUACCGGCGGGAGACCGAUAGCGCACAAGUAGAGUGAUCGAAAGAUGAAAAGCACUUUGAAAAGAGAGUUAAAAAGUACGUGAAAUUGUUGAAAGGGAAGCGCUUGCCAUCAGAAUUCGGGGCCGGCCGAUCAGCGUUCCUUCUGGUUCGUGCACUCGGCCGGUUUCCGUGCCAGCAUCGGCGGCUGCGGCGGGACAAAGGCGGCGGGAAAGUGGCUCCCCCUCGGGGGAGUGUUAUAGCCCGCCGCGCAAUGCCGCCAGCGGCCGCCGAGGACCGCGCUUCGGCAAGGAUGCUGGCCUAAUGGUUGUAAGCGACCCGUCUUGAAACACGGACCAAGGAGUCUAACAUCUACGCGAGUGUUCGGGUGGAAAACCCGCGCGCGAAAUGAAAGUGAACGGAGGUGGGAGCCCCUCACGGGGUGCACCAUCGACCGAUCCUGAUGUCUUCGGAUGGAUUUGAGUAGGAGCGUAGCUGUUGGGACCCGAAAGAUGGUGAACUAUGCCUGAAUAGGGUGAAGCCAGAGGAAACUCUGGUGGAGGCUCGCAGCGGUUCUGACGUGCAAAUCGAUCGUCAAAUUUGGGUAUAGGGGCGAAAAGACUAAUCGAACCAUCUAGUAGCUGGUUCCUGCCGAAGAUCCCCUCUAAGGAAUAA